GCUAAUACCGGAUAACAACAGAUGAUGCCUAUCAACUGUUUAAAAGAUGGUUCUGCUAUCACUCUUGGAUGGACCUGCGGUGCAUUAGCUAGUUGGUAGGGUAACGGCCUACCAAGGCGAUGAUGCAUAGCCGAGUUGAGAGACUGAUCGGCCACAUUGGGACUGAGACACGGCCCAAACUCCUACGGGAGGCAGCAGUC
rnacentral:rRNA from 1 species